GUCGGACGAAAACUUUAUCACAAGAUAAAAUGACCAUCGCGGAAACGGUUAUAUCCGAGAGAUUAUGUGUGGACCAGUCGCUGUAUCUCAGUACACAACAACGGAUGCCCACCUGAAAUAGAUGAAUGUGUACAAGGGAAAGACAACUGCCACCUCAACGCCACAUGUUCUAACACACUUGGAUCGUUCACGUGCUCGUGCAAGAAAGGUUACAGCGGCAAUGGAGUCGAGUGUACUGUAUCAGCUGCAAACACUGACGCUGUGUCGAGAAGAUGGCUGCUGUUAUGUCUUGUGUUUGUCCUUGUUGGUCUCCCCGCUCUGUAGUAAAACGGACACAGCGAGAACAUUACAUCUAAAACAAUUCACAACUGCCAUUUGUAAACAGAAAUAUAUAGUAGUUUGUUAUCGUAUGUAUUUAUAGUGUGUAUACCACAAAAUCAAAUACUGCAGGCGACAAUAGUUACAUACUCGUCUAAAACUGCUUCACGCAGCGUUUUAAUCAACAUAUACACCAUGCAUAUUGUAUAUAAACCCUAACUUUCAUAGAAAACAAAUUUGAGGCGAUAAGCUGCUUCUUUCAGAUAUAACGAGAAGCCUAUUUGACUAAUCUAGUGUCUUCCAAAA